ACGCUCGACACCUACUGGAGGCAGCAGUGAGGAAUAUUGGUCAAUGGGCGCAGGCCUGAACCAGCCAAGUAGCGUGAAGGAUGACUGCCCUAUGGGUUGUAAACUUCUUUUAUAUGGGAAUAAAGUUUUCCACGUGUGGAAUUUUGUAUGUACCAUAUGAAUAAGGAUCGGCUAACUCCGUGCAAGCAGCCGACGGUAAUCUGAGGCCGGGCGUGGACGAAGGC
rnacentral:rRNA from 1 species